AGUCUUAUAUUCAAAAAUGAUUUUAGAUUGCAAAUCUAAAGGUAAAGAAUUUCUUUUAAGGCUU
rnacentral:tRNA from 1 species